UACGUAGGGAGCAAGCGUUGUCCGGAAUCAUUGGGCGUAAAGAGCUCGUAGGCGGUGUGUCACGUCGGCCGUGAAAACCUGCAGCUUAACUGUGGGCUUGCGGUCGAUACGGGCAUCACUGGAGUUCGGCAGGGGAGACUGGAAUUCCUGGUGUAGCGGUGAAAUGCGCAGAUAUCAGGAGGAACACCGGUGGCGAAGGCGGGUCUCUGGGCCGGAUACUGACGCUGAGGAGCGAAAGCGUGGGGAGCGAACAGG
rnacentral:rRNA from 1 species